GAGCGGCAGUUCUACGGUAGAGUUAGAUAGACGCUAGGCAAGGGAGAAGAAAAGAAAAAGAAAAAGCAGGAAGAAGGGCUCCUUUCUCCUCGUUUUAUCUCUCUCUCUCUUUCUCUCUCUCUUCUGUUCCUUCUGAUUUCUUUGAGGUGC
rnacentral:ribozyme from 1 species